rnacentral:tRNA from 1 species
GAGAGUGCAGCAUAGUGGUAGAGCACUUACCUUGCAUGCAGGAGGCCUGGGAUCAAUUCCCAGCACCA